CAAGCACACUGGUCAAACCAACAGCCCAAGAAUGCAAAACAAUCAUUAUUUACAUGAAUAUGCGUGAGAAACUCUAGUGGAAAUAGAGCAGAGCAGGUUCAGAUGCCAACGACUCAAGAAUUGGACUUUUCACUGCUGGAUCAUCCCAAGAAACCUCUGGAAGGGGCAGAUUCCAGGAGGAAAGCAGCAGGAAGGAAGGAAGAGUGGCAGACAAUGCAAAAAAAGAAAAAAACCAACAGCAAUUGGGAUUAUUUUAAUAUUUCAGAGCUAACACUGGCUUGGAGAGUGAGGGAUUCUGGAAGAAGGCAGAGUUUUCCUGUUGGUUGGUAUCCAGACAGAUUUGCUGCAGGAAGAGAAAUUAAGACAACACAAGCCAAAAUGUAGUCUCACUGCAGCGAGACUCAGCUAAUUUAAGGAGACUGUCUGUGUAUAACACAUUUGCCCAAGGAACAGCUGGUUCAGUUGUUUUUCUGACUGAAAAUCUCCAUUCCAAAGCCAAGCUGAGCCUGGAUUGCUGAAUAAAUUGGGGAUAGUAGA